ACUCCUACGGGAGGCAGCAGUGGGGAAUAUUGCACAAUGGGGGAAACCCUGAUGCAGCCAUGCCGCGUGUGUGAAGAAGGCCUUGGGUUGUAAAGCACUUUCAGUAGGGAGGAAGGUAGUGUAGUUAACACCUGCAUUAUUUGACGUUACCUACAGAAGAAGCACCGGCUAACUCCGUGCCAGCAGCCGCGGUAAUACGGAGGGUGCGAGCGUUAAUCGGAAUUACUGGGCGUAAAGCGCAUGCAGGCGGCCUGUUAAGUCAGAUGUGAAAGCCCGGGGCUUAACCUCGGAAUUGCAUUUGAAACUGGCAGGCUAGAGUCUUGUAGAGGGGUUAGAAUUUCAGGUGUAGCGGUGAAAUGCGUAGAGAUCUGAAGGAAUACCAGUGGCGAACGGCGGCCCCCUGGACAAAGACUGACGCUCAGAUGCG
rnacentral:rRNA from 1 species